UACGUAGGGUGCAAGCGUUGUCCGGAAUUAUUGGGCGUAAAGAGCUCGUAGGCGGUCUGUCACGUCGGACGUGAAAAUCCAGGGCUCAACCCUGGACCUGCGUUCGAUACGGGCAGACUAGAGUUCGGUAGGGGAGACUGGAAUUCCUGGUGUAGCGGUGAAAUGCGCAGAUAUCAGGAGGAACACCUAUGGCGAAGGCAGCUCGCUGGGACGUUACUGACGCUGAGACGCGAAAGCGUGGGGAGCAAACAGG
rnacentral:rRNA from 1 species